CGGGGUGAGUAACGCGUAGGAACCUGACACCGAGUGGGGGAUAACGCUGGGAAACCGGCGCUAAUACCGCAUGAGAUCUGGCGACAGAGGAAAGCAGCAAUGCGCUGGGUGAGGGGCCUGCGUCCGAUUAGCUAGUUGGUGGGGUAAAGGCCUACCAAGGCACCGAUCGGUAGCUGGUCUGAGAGGAUGAUCAGCCACACUGGGACUGAGAUACGGCCCAG
rnacentral:rRNA from 1 species